CCUACGGGAGGCAGCAGUGGGGAAUAUUGGACAAUGGGCGCAAGCCUGAUCCAGCAAUGCCGCGUGUGUGAAGAAGGCCUGCGGGUUGUAAAGCACUUUCAGUGGGGAGGAAAAUCUCGAGGUUAAUACCCUCGGGCCUUGACGUUACCCACAGAAGAAGCACCGGCCAACUCCGUGCCAGCAGCCGCGGUAAU
rnacentral:rRNA from 1 species